ACAAAGUUGUGGUUAACAGAAAUGCACUGCGAAAACGAUCUCUCACUUUGUAAAUGUCUCGAGUCCCAAAUCAGUAUUUAUUUAGGGACCCGAAGGCUGAAAACUAAGUGGUUAACUUGGGCAAUCAAAACUAUGUUGGAGUAAAAUCAGUCCGGAUAAUUUUUAAAUUUCGAUAAAAUACAUUGACAAUUCGCAAUGAAAUUUGAAUUUUUUCAAAUUUUGAAUCCAGCGUUCAACAUAGCAUUCGAAACUAAGCGACGGGGGAUAGCUUCAUCAAAUAAUUAACGGCUAUGAAGAUAAAUUGAUAGAAACUUUAAAUUGAAAUAACAUGGCUGAUAAGAGAGAAGAACCUCAUAUCACUAUUGAUCUAUUUGAUACACUAUAUAUUUUACAUGCAACUAAAAACGAAGAAGGCAAUUAUACAUGCAAAAUAGAUAGUGUCAAAGCUCGAGAAUAUUCCAUUAAAGUGGUGUCAAUGGCUAAAAUGUUGAAUCAAGAUUUUAUUCGCUAUUCAAUCUAUUUGGGAUUUAUACUAUCAUUAACGUUCACAUGCUACUGCGCUGGUUUGUGUGUAGCUUGGCACCGAAGAACAUCUUUUGCAGAUCCGAUGAAUCUCAACUAUGGAAAAAAGGUUCAUAAUGGUGGUAAUAAUUGUGAACGUGAAACACUUUUAAACAAAUAAUAAUAUUAAUAAAAAAAAAGGACGUGAUAGUUUUUUUUUAUAUUUGUAUCGCACAUUAUAGCAUUUAAAGUGUUUAUUAGCGAAAGAAAAUAUGACGUACAUUUUCAACCAGUCUGUCGAAUGUACUUUCAAAAUUAGUUGGUACAAAAAGAACAGUUAACAGCCCUACUGACUAUAUUUUAUAGACUCUUUGGAAGGAUGAAAUUUUACUUCUUGG